GAUUACAAUUGUAUCCAUCAACAUAAUUCAGGUUUAAAGUGGUUAUCAGUUGAACAGGUUGACAAAUCCUGACCUGAGAGUUUCCAGUUUACAGUGUGGACUCUUCAGUCCAACAGAAAGCAGCUUCAGUCCUGAAUCCUGCAGGUUGUUGUUACUCAGGUCCAGCUCUCUCAGACUAGAGGACUGGGAGCUGAGAACUGAGGACAGAGCUUCACAGCUUCUCUCUGAGAGGUUACAGCCACUCAGU